rnacentral:rRNA from 1 species
GAUGAACGCUGGCGGCGUGCCUAAUACAUGCAAGUCGAACGACCACACAAUAAGCUUGCUCCCUUGCCGGUAGCGGCGGACGGGCGAGUAAGACGUGCAUAAUCAUCUACUAAUACUGGGAUGAUAUCGGAAAGACGCUGAUACUACUGCAUCAUAUAUUCAACCGCUUAAUUCAAUAGUUCAUCGCACCUUUCGCGUCUGUAUUAGCUGGUCCCGCGCCGCAUAAGCUAGUUGGUAAGGUAACGGCUUACCAAGGCAACGAUGCGUAGCCGAGCUGAGAGGGUGAUCGGCCACACUGGAACUGAGACACGGUCCAGACUCCUACGGGAGGCAGCAGUAGGGAAUCUGCCGCAAUGGGCGAAAGCCUGACGGAGCAACGCCGCGGGAGUGAUGAAGGUCUUCGGAUCGUAAAACUCUGUUAUUAGGGAAGAACAAAUGUGUAAGUAACUAUGCACGUCUGGACGGUACCUAAGCAGAAAGCCACGGCUAACUACGU